GAUGAAGAGCGCAGCGAAAUGCGAUAAGUAAUGUGAAUUGCAGAAUUCAGUGAAUCAUCGAAUCUUUGAACGCACAUUGCGCCCGCCAGUAUUCUGGCGGGCAUGCCUGUCCGAGCGUCAUUUCAACCAUCAAGCCCCGGGCUUGUGUUGGGGACCUGCGUCCGACGCAGGCCCUGAAAACCAGUGGCGGGCUCGCUGUCCACACCGAGCGUAGUAACUAACCUCGCUAUGGAGUGGCGCGGGCGCCUGCCGUAAAACCCCCAAUUUUUACAAGGUUGACCUCGGAUCAGGUAGGAAUACCCGCUGAACUUAAGCAUAUCAAUAAGCGGAGGA
rnacentral:misc_RNA from 1 species